CAGUAGCCACGGUAAUACGUAGGGUACAAGCGUUAAUCGGAAUUACUGGGCGUAAAGCGUGCGCAGGCGGUUCGUUAAGACAGAUGUGAAAUCCCCGGGCUUAACCUGGGAACUGCAUUUGUGACUGGCGGGCUAGAGUAUGGCAGAGGGGGGUAGAAUUCCACGUGUAGCAGUGAAAUGCGUAGAGAUGUGGAGGAAUACCGAUGGCGAAGGCAGCCCCCUGGGCCAAUACCGACGCUCAUGCACGAAAGCGUGGGGAGCAAACAGGAUUAGAUACCCCCGUAGUCCCUGUCUCUUUACA
rnacentral:rRNA from 1 species